rnacentral:rRNA from 1 species
GACGAACGCUGGCGGCGUGCUUAACACAUGCAAGUCGAACGGAAAGGCCCCUUUGGGGGUACUCGAGUGGCGAACGGGUGAGUAACACGUGAGUAACCUGCCCUUUACUUCGGGAUAACUUCAGGAAACUGGGGCUAAUACCGGAUAGGAAUCCUUGCUGCAUGGUGGGGGUUGGAAAGCUUCGACGGUUUUGGAUGGACUCGCGGCUUAUCAGCUUGUUGGUGGGGUAGUGGCUUACCAAGGCUUUGACGGGUAGCCGGCCUGAGAGGGCGACCGGCCACAUUGGGACUGAGAUACGGCCCAGACUCCUACGGGAGGCAGCAGUGGGGAAUAUUGCACAAUGGGCGGAAGCCUGAUGCAGCAACGCCGCGUGCGGGAUGACGGCCUUCGGGUUGUAAACCGCUUUCAGCAGGGGCGAAGCUUGUGGUGACGGUACCUGCAGAAGAAGCACCGGCUAACUACGUG